rnacentral:rRNA from 1 species
CCAGACCCCUACGGGAGGCAGCAGUGGGGAAUAUUGCACAAUGGGGGAAACCCUGAUGCAGCGACGCCGCGUGAGUGAGGAAGUAUUUCGGUAUGUAAAGCUCUAUCAGCAGGGAAGAAAAUGACGGUACCUGACUAAGAAGCCCCGGCUAACUACGUGCCAGCAGCCGCGGUAAAACGUAGGGGGCGAGCGUUGUCCGGAAUGACUGGGCGUAAAGGGUGCGUAGGCGGCAUAAUAAGUUAGAAGUGAAAUACCCAGGGCUUAACUCGGGUGCUGCUUCUAAGACUGUUGAGCUUGAGUGCGGGAGAGGUUAAUGGAAUUCCUAGUGUAGCGGUGGAAUGCGUAGAUAUUAGGAGGAACAUCAGUGGCGAAGGCGACUUUCUGGACUGUAACUGACGCUGAGGCACGAAAGUGUGGGGAGCAAACAGGAUUAGAUACCCCUGUA